GACGAACGCUGGCGGCGUGCUUAACACAUGCCAGUCGAACGGAAAGGCCUCUUUCGGGGGGUACUCGAGUGGCGAACGGGUGAGUAACACGUGAGUAACCUGCCCUUUACUUUGGGAUAACUUCAGGAAACUGGGGCUAAUACCGGAUAGGAGCUCCUGCUCCAUGGUGGGGGUUGGAAAGUUUCGGCGGUUGGGGAUGGACUCGCGGCUUAUCAGCUUGUUGGUGGGGUAGUGGCUUACCAAGGCUUUGACGGGUAGCCGGCCUGAGAGGGUGACCGGCCACAUUUGGACUGAGAUACGGCCCAGACUCCUACGGGAGGCAGCAGUGGGGAAUAUUGCACAAUGGGUGGAAGGCUGAUGCAGCAACGCCGGGUGCGGGAUGACGGCCUUCGGGUUGGAAACCGCUUUCGCUCAUGACGAAGCUUUGUGUGACGGUAGUGGGUAAAGAAGCACCGGCUAACUACGUG
rnacentral:rRNA from 1 species